AUCAGGCAGCAGACAGCAAUGACUCCAACACAGCGGAGGUGGUGACAGAUGUGCAGAUGUCAAUGUAUUUUGACUUCGGGGCCCACGGGUUUUCCUUAUACAUCAGAUUUGGGUUCAGAGAAAAAUUCAGGAUCCAGAAUUGGACUUCCUGGUUUUUGACCGGAGCAACUUAUGUGGCCGCCAUCAGGACGAGGAGACGUUGCAUGCCGAGCAGUCAGGUCCCCCGUUCUGUGAAGAAGAAGAAGAAAGCCUCUCUGGAGGGCAGUGUUUCGCAGUAAGCACAUUGUCAUGGAAAGGUACUGACCGAAGGAGUGGAGUUUGAAAAGGGCAGAGCAGGUCCCCUAAGUGAAACUUGAAGACCUGGAAGGAGGUAGGCCAAGGUUUCCUCUGAGAUGUUGGCUGGCCCCUGGGAAGCUGCCUUAUUUGCUGACUGCCUGACCUUGACCUUUGCAUCCUGUUGAGACCUCUCCAUUCUAAGAGGUAUAGCCGUCAGUCAUACCAAGAUGCAUG